rnacentral:rRNA from 1 species
GUGCCAGCAGCCGCGGUAAUACGUAGGGGGCGAGCGUUGUCCGGAAUUAUUGGGCGUAAAGGGCGCGUAGGCGGCCAUUUAAGUCUGAUGUGAAAGUGCGGGGCUUAACCCCGUAAAGCAUUGGAAACUGGAUGGCUUGAGGACAGGAGAGGAAAGUGGAAUUCCACGUGUAGCGGUGAAAUGCGUAGAUAUGUGGAGGAACACCAGUGGCGAAGGCGACUUUCUGGACUGUAACUGACGCUGAGGCGCGAAAGCGUGGGGAUCAAACAGGAUUAGAUACCCUGGUAGUCCACGCCGUAAA